rnacentral:rRNA from 1 species
AAACUCAAAGGAAUUGACGGGGACCCGCACAAGCGGUGGAGCAUGUGGUUUAAUUCGAAGCAACGCGAAGAACCUUACCAAGUCUUGACAUCGGAAUGACCGUCCGUAACGGGGCUUCCCUACGGGGCAUUCCAGACAGGUGGUGCAUGGUUGUCGUCAGCUCGUGUCGUGAGAUGUUGGGUUAAGUCCCGCAACGAGCGCAACCCUUAUCCUUAGUAGCCAGCAGUUCGGCUGGGCACUCUGGGGAGACUGCCAGGGAUAACCUGGAGGAAGGUGGGGAUGACGUCAAAUCAUCAUGCCCCUUAUGAUUUGGGCUACACACGUGCUACAAUGGCGUAAACAAAGGGAAGCGAGGGAGUGAUCCGGAGCAAAUCUCAAAAAUAACGUCUCAGUUCGGAUUGUAGUCUGCAACUCGACUACAUGAAGCUGGAAUCGCUAGUAAUCGCGGAUCAGAAUGCCGCGGUGAAUACGUUCCCGGGUCUUGUACACACCGCCCGUCACACCAUGGGAGUUGGUAACGCCCGAAGUCAGUGACCCAACCGUAAGGAGGGAGCUGCCGAAGGCGGGACUGAUAACUGGGGUGAAGUCGUAACAAGGUAGCCGUAUCGGAAGGUGCGGCUGGAUCACCUCCUUUAUG